GCCACGCGAGCUGAGCCACGUUCGUUCCUCGUCAAUGAGCGUCGUUUGUUGCCCACUUCACCUGGAAUCCUUGAACUGAGUCUUCCCAAUGGGCAUCAGACGAAGAUGAACCAUGUCGAGGCAGGAACGCUGAAGAAAUUACGAUCGCCUUUGUGUAUCACGGCCCGCAUCUGUGAGGAAGAACUAGGCAAGAACACGAGUGGAUGGGACCGAAAGGUUCUCCCGGGAAGAAGGAGGUGGGAGAGAGCGAAGUCGCGGCACCAGAUGUUCCGGACGUAGAACCAGCGCACGGAGUUAGAACGCCAGAUAUCCAGCCAGUGGCAGCCGCAGGUCUGUCCCAGGCAUCAGCUGUCCAGUCGGCGUGCGCAGCGCCGGUAUCCGAACGGAGAGAGAAAGCAACACCGCACAGAGACGAAGUCAACUUUGGAUUGAUGGUUCUCAUAGUAACCCUGUUAAUUCUGCUGGCCGGAACCAUUAUCCUGGUGUUCAUCGAGAGGAGUUUAAUGUCUCAGAAAGCGACGGAAUCUGUCAACAAUUAUACAACAUCCUGACGCCUCGAAGACGCUUUACCUUGCAGUUAUUGCUCCACAUGUGAGUUAAGCAGGCCCGUAAACGAAUAAUUAUUAUUCUACAUAUUUGGACUUGGGAAAGUAUGAGAUGCUUUUCUUCAGGAUCCACCACUUUUCAACCUACCAGAAGUAAAGAAUGUGUGGUGCCAUAACUGCCACACACGUGCGAGCGACGUUCAUCAACACAAGAAAAAAAAAACAGAAUUCGGCGCGGGAAAUGGACAAUGGUGGAUGCAACAUGUGUUCAAGGCAAGGGAAGUUAGUAAGACGAGCACCAAAGACAUUGACUCCUACAACCUAUAUGUAGCAGCUGACUCCUUCAAUUGAAAUAUGUGUGGGAUAUGUCAAAGACAAAAACCGUGCAUUGUGUCCAUUUCUAAAGAGAAUAAUCGGUCCUGUCAGCAAGCCCAAACAGGUAUCACUCUAUAUACUAUACUAUAUAGAUGCGAUGAUAAAGAAUGUUUUCCUAUGUUCCCUAUUCCUAUUUACUUCAUUAUGUUUUCCUAUGUAUAUGCAAUGCACAUAACAAAUCAAAUAAAUGAAAUAAAUAAAUGAGCCAUUUGGGCAGCACACCGA